GUCAAGCUGAAGAGUCUCAAAUGGGACGAAACACACGUCUUCGAU
rfam:Schistosoma mansoni strain Puerto Rico chromosome 6, complete genome